GUGGAUUUUACUAUAGCAGGUGUUUUGAUGGCUAUGAAAGAUAUCUGCAAGAAAGAAGCCUAUGAGUGGUUGAAAUCUGGAGACAAACUUGUGAUAGCAAUGUAUACAGUAACAAGAGUGCUGAAUGAUAUUCAUGGCUCGAGGAUGACAUGAGCAGAGGAUAUGUCACGAACUCGAUCAACUGUUACAAGAAGCAAUAUGGAGUUACCGAAAAAGAAGCAUUUGAAAAGCUUCAUCAAAUUAUUGCAAACGCUAAUAAGAUGAUAAACGAGGAGCUUUUGAAGCCAACUAAUAUGCGACGCCAAAUUAUAAAAGAAAUGCUUAACUAUCAACGUAUAACGAAUGUUAGCUACGAAAUUGGUGAUGAAUUUACCCGUCCUGGUGGAAAACUCAAGAGCCAUGUCACUUCUAUGUACCUUGAUCUUUGAGUAAUAAGUAUGUUUGAGUCUUUGCGUCAUUAUAGGAAUAAGAGACAUGUUCUCAUUAGUUUAGAAUGAGUCAGUUCUGUUUCCGUUUUAAUAGUUGUUUGUUGAGCAAUAAAAGCAUUGGAAGUCAUUGAAUAAAUUAGAUCGUUCUGAAAUGGAUGGUGACUAUAUACAUUA